UCUAGAGCCUUGAUGAUGUUAC
rnacentral:sRNA from 1 species